AUUCCUAGUAGCUAGAAAUCUGUUGGAGCAACUGAGGAUGCGUUAACAUGGAGUCCGACAAGAAGCAAAAGCAGGGAGCGCUGGAAACAUUACCAAAACAUUCCUACUGGUUUGAUUUUUGGAUGUUUUUUCUUUUCGACGUAGUGCUUUUUCUUGUAGUUUAUUUGCUGGUGCCCUGAUCAGAGGCGUUGAAGUCCCCUCUCUGUGCUCCGACCUACUGUAUUUUUCACGCCGGAAGAACCGGGUUACUGCAUUUCCUGGUCGGCCGGUUGAAUCGUUUUCUGCUCUGACUGGGGCUUCACUUCAAAAGUAUGAUUGUAAUUGCUCAUCCAGGACCAAAAAUUGAUAUUGCACCCAAAAUGGAUAAGUUCUGCCCUUGGAACUUGAUGCACAGUGGGCUUGAGGUCCGACCAUUCAUAUAUUCAUCAUGGCGAAGAUAACAUGAAGAGCUAUAUUUGUUCGAUACACUUCCAUAGUGUUAUAAUAGUCACAAUUUAAUAUUACUAAGACUAAUAUUGGCCAGAACCAAUGUUUUCCUAUGGGUGGGUUUGGUUAAGGUAUGUGAAAAAUUCACAGUGGAAAAACUAGAUAUAUCAUGAAAAUGUCAUUUAAAAAAUAUUAACAGGAACUUUAAGACAGGAGUUGAACUGUUAAUUUAAAAGGAUAUUAUUAAAUAUCUUUGUAAGUGUAUUAAACUUUCUCUGUUUGACAACAGGGUGGAGGGGGGUGAACUGACCAUCAGACUGAUUUGAAUUAUUUCACUGUGUUCUUCAUGGCAUGGAGUCCUGUUACAAACACUAGCACCACUGGAGUUUGAUUUUGUUCUGCUUUUAAAAUCAGAUUAUGAAAACAUCUCUUGCUGCUUCUUAUGUGUAGGUGAAAACUUGUCAUGGGGAAGAUGCCCUCAGCAAUGUUCUACCAUUUCCUGUCGCCUAGAGACAUUUCAUAAUGCUUUUUAACUCUGCUGGAAAGAAACCAAGGUUUAUUUUUUAAAUGAUGGUCUUUUUUUUUUCUUGGGUGAAGCCUUUUGAUGUUACCAGUGGAAAUUGAUAUACAAAUAAAAAUGUCUAAAUAAGCAAUACGAUAUUUCUGCAAAUAACUAAAUCCUAUUGCAGCUAAGAAGAAAGGUUGCAAACAGGGUGCCCGUUUGACUGAUUCAGCUUGCUGAAUUUAAACCUCUAACAAUUUGUUGAAAACAGUCAAGGCGUCGGCCUCAAUGUGUAUUUGAAGUGUGAGACCACUCCAAAACUCUUAAAAAUGUACCUUUUUGUUGUAUUUUAAAUACACUUCCAACUAGUUUCCACUUUGUCAUCAUAUUUCACUAUUAAUUCUGAAGAAAUCUAUUUGGUUGUUAGUGAUUUUAAGAAUUGUGAGUAGGUAUUUGGUUCCCUCCCAGUUAUUUGUUUUACAUUUAAAAGGUUUUGAAAAUAAUUGGUCACAUUACUUAGAAAUUGAUAAUUCUGCUUUAACGGUCAUAACAAUGGUUGUAACACCGUGCUCCUUUUUACAUAAAACAUUGUCAGGUGUAUGCCCGGUCUUGAAUUUAUAACUUUUAUAAUUUGAAUUGAAUUUGAAACUUCCGGUUUCUUUAUCCUCCUAUUUUACUACCAUCUGCAGGUUUCAUUAAAACAAUGUAGAAUACAUAUGAUGGAGAUGAAUUAGAAUGGUUAAAAAGAGACAUGGUUAUAAAAUACAGACCCCUCUGGUAUUAUAUUAUUUGUCCCUUAUCUGUACUGUUUACUUACCAUUAUCUAGUUCUCGAUCCAACCAUACAUUACCUUAAGGGUCUACAGCCUUCAAUUUGAGAAUCUUUUAGGGAGAAAUUUUAAUUGAAAUCUAUUUUACAUACAAGUAAAUUGUUGCUGUGUACAUUGUAGAUGUUGCUUAUUUUGACAAAGUCCCACCUUCUCUAAGUCCAUGCUAUCCCCUAGGAAUCUGUUUCCCAUAUAAAUGAUUAUCUAGUGUUUGUUUUAAAACAUAUGACCUGUUGAAUUAUAACUACUUGGUUUUAUAGAUGGUUACUCCAACUAUUAUGUCUUAUGGGACAGUUGUUGGGAAUGAACUAUGAAUAACUGGUUUCCUCAAGUAGAAUUGGUACAAUAUCAUCAGGCCCUGAUGGUAUCUUCCUGCUUCUAGUACCUAAAAACCCUUCUGCCUUUUCUAUGCUAAUACUAUUUAAUAUUAAACUUUAUUUUUUCAGCCACAGAUGUUAUUUCCUCUUGGUGAAUACCUGAGUAAAGUAUUUUUACAGUUUAAA